UAUUUUGUGUAGAGAUGGAGUCUCACCAUGUUGCCCAGGCUGGUCUCGAACUCCUGGGCUCAAGCGAUCCGCCGGCCUCAGUCUUCCAAAGUGCUGGGAUUCCAGGCAUGACCCACCGCGCCCGCCCCCCGACGCCACCGAUGUGGAGUGUGAGAUUGUCCUCUCGUUGCUGUUUACCCAUUGCAACUCAGGGCCAAGCCAGAAGCCAAGGAUCUUGGAGACGCCCCGUCACCCCUCUCCAUCAUUCACCAAUCCCGCCCCUGGGAGGAAGAGGCCGCCCAGAUGCAGACCCUGGAACCCCAGACUGUACCCCCUUCACCUGGCUGGGCUCCCAGCCCAAUUCUGUACUGGAAUCCUGGGGGAAUAGAUCAAGGCGGGGUAUGAAUGAGGGGAGGGAGCUCAGGUUUUGGGGAGGCAGAGGGACAGGCCGGGGCAGGGCUCACCUGGCUUCUGGGGUUUGACGGCCCCCACAUAGCCUGGUGGAGAGACAGGGAGCAGGUGAGGAACCUGGGGCCCCAGCUCUGGGCCUCCCCAAACCCCAGCCCCGCCCCUACCUGGUCUAUAGCCAUUUUGAGUGGUGGGGCCUGUGGAGGAGAGAAAGGGUUAAGGCCCUCCGGAGCCCUGGAUGCCAUCUCCAGCCACCUCGGGCAGGGGUGUCCCCACCCCCAACUUCAACGAGCCAGAAAGGCAGGUUCCU
rnacentral:lncRNA from 1 species